CCGGCACAUAGUAGGCAUUUAAUGGAAUUCGGGGCUGUCUGGCUCCAAAGACUUUGCUUUUACAACAAGCUGGUGGUUCAUUUCUUUCUACUUCUAGAUGAACUUCUCGGAGGUUCUCAUGGUCUACUGGAUAUUAUAAGUCUCCAAGAGGAGUCUAUAGUGAGCCACAUAUGCCAAAGGUACCUGGUCAUUUUGUCAAGGAACAUCUUGAAGGACUAGUGUUCUUGGAACACACUUUGGGAAAUCCUGUCAAAGCCCUCGGCUCCGAGUUGAUCCUGGUGUGAGAGCGUGCAGGCUGUGCUGGCCCUGAUUAAUUUAUCUCAGUUCAAUAAACACUUGAUCAUUACCUGCUAGGUUCUGGGCCCUGGGACAUUUGGAGCAGCCCAAGCCCACUUCUGAUCUCAAGGAUCAAACAGUCUACUUGGAGCUUAACUGACCUUCACAGAAACCCUGCAGAGACUCAUCUUCAGCAAAAACCUCCCAUACAGUGAAGCCCACCAGUUCUCCUGUAAAGGCAGACGGCAUAAGUUUGGGUUUUUGCCUUAAAUUCUGCCUCGUUUUCCUUGCCAAUGUUGAAGAGAAUGGAUCAAAUUUCCCAUGUUCAGUUGGAAGAGCAGUGGCAGGAAGAAAAGUUACAGGUGGGCCGACUAGACCAGAGAGCGUGGCGUGAUUCGCUCAAGGCCACGCGAAGGCAGUGUGACGUCAUCACAAGGGCUCACGAUGAGAGCCGAAACGUUUGUUUUCAAAUCUUGCCUCUUCCCCAGUUCUCUGUAACCUUUGUAAAUUUAUAUUUUCAUUUAAAAUA